rnacentral:rRNA from 1 species
GUCGGAUUAGCUAGUUGGUGAGGUAACGGCUCACCAAGGCGACAAUCCGUAGCUGGUCUGAGAGGACGACCAGCCACACCGGAACUGAGACACGGUCCGGACUCCUACGGGAGGCAGCAGUGGGGAAUAUUGGACAAUGGGGGAAACCUUGAUCCAGCGACGCCGCGUGUGUGAAGAAGGCCUGCGGGUUGUAAAGCACUUUUAGUGGGGACAAAAAGCUACGGACUAAUAUUCUGUGGUCUUGAUUUAACCCAAAGAAAAAGCACCGGCUAACUCUGUGCCAGCAGCCGCGGUAAUACGGAGGGUGCGAGCGUUAAUCGGAAUUACUGGGCGUAAAGCGCGCGUAGACGGUUUUGUAAGUCAGAUGUGAAAUCCCUGGGCUCAACCUGGGAACUGCAUUUGAUACUGCAUGGCUAGAGUAUCGAAGAGGGAAGUGGAAUUUCCGGUGUAGCGGUGAAAUGCGUAGAUAUCGGAAGGAACACCAGUGGCGAAAGCGACUUCCUGGUCGAAUACUGACGUUCAUGUGCGAAAGCGUGGGGAGCA